rnacentral:rRNA from 1 species
GGCUAGUUCNUUUUCCCUUGAGUUGAUAUGGCUCAGACGAACGCUGGCGGCGCGCUUACACAUGCAAGUCGAACGAGAAGGCGUAGCAAUACGCUUGUAAAGUGGCAAACGGGUGAGUAACGCGUGGAUAAUCUACCCUAGGGUGGGGAAUAACUUCCCGAAAGGGGAGCUAAUGCCGACAUGUGCAACACUCUCGCAAGAGGAUGUUGGAAAGCCGUACCGUGGGUACGGCGCCCAAGGAUGAGUUCACGUCCUAUCAGCUUGUUGGCGGGGUAACGGCCCACCAAGGCUACGACGGGUAGCUGGUCUGAGAGGACGACCAGCCACACUGGCACUGCGACACGGGCCAGACUCCUACGGGAGGCAGCAGUGAGGAAUAUUGCGCAAUGGGCGAAAGCCUGACGCAGCGACGCCGCGUGGGGGAUGAAGGCCUUCGGGUUGUAAACCCCUUUCAGGAGGGAAGAUGGGACGGGCAACCGUUCGGACGGUACCUCCAGAAGCAGCCACGGCUAACUCUGUGCCAGCAGCCGCGGUAAGACAGAGGUGGCAAGCGUUGUUCGGAUUUACUGGGCGUAAAGGGUGCGUAGGUGGUUAGGUAAGACCUGUGGGAAAGACCUGGGCUUAACCCAGGAAGGUCGCAGGUGACUGCCUAGCUAGAGGACGGGAGAGGAGCGCGGAAUUCCCGGUGUAGCGGUGAAUGCGUAGAGAUGGGGAGGAAAGCGGUGGCGAANGCGC